GGGCGCCGUUGGGCGAUACGAGACGUCGUCCACCCGCGGGCAGCCCCAAGGUGAUUUUGACCUUUCUCGCUACCGCGAGCUGGCCGGAGGCGGACCCCGCCGAAUUUUGGAUUAGCCCCAGGUUCAACAGCUUAUCUUUCUGAACCUGUCGCGGAGGAGCGGGGCCCGCCGAGGUUCUGUGCCCUCGUCGCCCGGCCGCGUACGGGGCCAAGAUGACGUGCCCGGCCGCGGCCCGGCCCGGCUAGAUUGUCACCCGCACCACACCCCGCCGCCGGGACUUCAGACAGCUGAUAAGUGUCUCGGCUCCCAAGAACAACUUUACAUUUCUGUUUCAAGAAGAUUGAAAAUAUCCAACAUCACCAAAAAAAUAACCUGAACAUCCAGCCUUUGAAGAGAAGUUAUGGUGUGGAUAUCUUCAACACAGUGGACGGUACAGAUUCCGAAGAAGCAAAACUCUAAGUGAUUAAGGAAAUAUAUUAUCUUCCUAUUUCAUGAAACUCAGUUGUAUUAAGUUUUUGCAUAAAAACAUUUUUAUUAUAUUUCUGUGUACUGGCAAUAAACAAUUCAAAUCAUAAAAUU
rnacentral:lncRNA from 1 species